rnacentral:rRNA from 1 species
GGAAGUAAAAGUCGUAACAAGGCUUCUGUACGCCUAGGUGCAACCUGCGGAAGGAUCAUUAU